rnacentral:rRNA from 1 species
UGAAAACGUGAAACGUGCCGCCUGGGAAGUACGGUCGCAAGGGCUGAAACUUAAAGGAAUUGGCGGGGGAGCACCACAACGGGUGGAGCUGCGGUUUAAUUGGACUCAACGCCGGGCAGCUCACCGGAUGGGACAGCGGAAUGAUAGCCGGGCUGAAGACCUUGCUUGACCAGCUGAGAGGAGGUGCAUGGCCGUCGUCAGUUCGUACUGUGAAGCAUCCUGUUUAGUCAGGCAACGAGCGAGACCCACGCCAACAGUUGCUAGCAUGUUCUCCGGAAUGAUGAGGACACUGUUGGGACCGCCUCUGCUAAAGAGGAGGAAGGAAUGGGCAACGGUAGGUCAGCAUGCCCCGAAUUAUCCGGGCUACACGCGGGCUACAAUGGUCAGGACAAUGGGAAACGGCACUGAAAAGUGUAGUCAAUCUCCUAAACCUGUCCCAAGUUCGGAUUGUGGGCUGCAACUCGCCCACAUGAAGUUGGAAUCCGUAGUAAUCGCGUUUCAAAAUAGCGCGGUGAAUAAGUCCCUGCUCCUUGCACACACCGCCCGUCAAACCAUCUUAGUGAGGUUUGGAUGAGGCUGUGGUUAACUGCCACAGUCGAAUCUAGGUUUCGCAAGGAGGGUUAAGUCGUAACAAGGUAGCCGUAA